CAGUAGUUUGUGGGUGAGAAGAAGCUCCUCCUCCAUGGAAGGAUCCUUUUUCUGUCUCUUGUCCUGGAGCAUCACUGGUGACAGCAUCUCUUCAGCAGAGUCAUGAGUCCUGAACGAGAGACAGACGGAUUGUAAAACACGUAAAUCUUUGUUUUAAUGUUCAGAUAUAAAUUUUUAGCUGUGUCUUCACCUACAAUAAAAAGCUGGAGCUCUACAAUGUCCUGAAUGGGCCACUGCCACACAGGACAAGAACACGGCCUUCUUACUGGCGCCUCCCUCAGGACAAAUUUCCCAUUUUGGCAUAUGUGCUCAGUUACAAUAAUGCAAGGUGAAACUUGACUUCCUGUUUGCUCUAAACACACCUUUGCACCAAUCGUUUUAUAGCGCUGGUCUAACUUACCGUUUCCUGCUUGUUGCUGAAGUUUCGGAAGGUUUCUCAGCUUCCUCGGUCAUACUGCUGAGGAAGGUCAGCUGGAAGUCAUCGUCCAUGGAGAUGUACGGAGCCAACAUGUCCAGGUCCAUCCCCUCCAUCUCCUGAGAAAAUGCAGACUUUGUUUUAAAGGCCAAGAUGCACUGAAGGUGUUCUGACGACAGCAGAGGGCCAAAUGCCCUGCUGAGAGCUUUAUGCUGGAUUUUGCUUUAAUUCGUCACCCGUCCGUAUAUGAAAGCCGUUUAGACCCAGGUAAGCGGUGAAAAUGAUUGAAAAUAUUACACUGUUGUAACACGCAGACACACACUGACACUCACAUGUGUGCAGGCUCUUGUUGAUGUGAUCUGAGUCGAGCGCGUGAAGAAACUCGAAGCCUGAGCGUCCAAUCAAAUCAUCAGGUUUGUAUCCCACCAGCUCUGCAACCCUGGAAACGGUGUGAGAAAAGAAAACCAGGAGUUCAGAGGUUUCUUUCGCGCCACAGUGGAACGGUAUUCCUCCUGCUUCCCAUCCACGGGGGGAAGGUCAAAGGUCGAGAUCGGUUACAUUUUUCCGUCUCACCUGCCCUCGCAGUGGGUGAAGCGCAGGUCCAUGCUGUGACGGGUGAGGAAGGUGCAAGUAUCCAGAGGGAACUCCACGCUGGAUGGGUGUGGGAUGGGCUCACACAGCAGGGUCAUGACUCUGCCUGCAGGGGGCGAUGCAGAGCCGCUGCCAAAGGGACGAAUGUGGCCUGUGCAGUGGAGGACCUGCAAGAGGGCGAGGAGUUCAUCAACCAAGCACGCUUCAAACAACCGAAAUAAACUUAUUUUUUUGCUCAA